rnacentral:rRNA from 1 species
AACGAACGCUGGUGGCAGGCUUAACACAUGCAAGUCGAGCGCCCCGCAAGGGGAGCGGCAGACGGGUGAGUAACGCGUGGGAACAUACCCUUUCCUGCGGAAUAGCUCCGGGAAACUGGAAUUAAUACCGCAUACGCCCUACGGGGGAAAGAUUUAUCGGGGAAGGAUUGGCCCGCGUUGGAUUAGCUAGUUGGGGGGGUAAAGGCCUACCAAGGCGACGAUCCAUAGCUGGUCUGAGAGGAUGAUCAGCCACAUUGGGACUGAGACACGGCCCAAACUCCUACGGGAGGGAGCAGUGGGGAAUAUUGGACAAUGGGCGCAAGCCUGAUCCAGCCAUGCCGCGUGAGUGAUGAAGGCCUUAGGGUUGUAAAGCUCUUUCACCGGAGAAGAUAAUGACGGUAUCCGGAGAAGAAGCCCCGGCUAACUUCGUGCCAGCCGCCGCCGUAA